CGAACGCUGGCGGCACGCUUAAUACAUGCAAGUCGAACGAGAAAGUCACUUCGGUGGCGAGUAUAGUGGCGCACGGGUGAGUAACGCGUAGGUGAUAAACCUUGAGAUGGGGGACAACAGAGAGAAAUUUCUGCUAAUACCGCAUAAGUAGGGAAGCUUUGGAUAGCUCCUUAGAAAGGUGGUCCUUCGGGGCCAUUGUCUUGAGACUGGCCUGCGUACCAUUAGCUUGUGGGUGGGGUAAUGGCCUACCUAGGCAAUGAUGGUUAACCGGUCUGAGAGGAUGAUCGGUCACACUGGAACUGAGACACGGUCCAGACUCCUACGGGAGGCAGCAGUAGGGAAUAUUGCGCAAUGGGGGAAACCCUGACGCAGCGAUGCCGCGUGAGUGAGGAAGGCCUUCGGGUUGUAAAGCUCUGUCCUUGGGGAAAAAAUGCUUAAGUCGGAAAUGGCUUAGGAGUUGAUGGUACCCAAGAAGAAAGCACCGGCUAACUUC
rnacentral:rRNA from 1 species